GACGAACGCUGGCGGCGUGCCUAAUACAUGCAAGUCGAACGCAGUGGGGACGGGUGCGUAACACGUGGGUCACCUCCCCUCAGAGGGGAUAACACUUGGAAACAGGUGCUAAACCGCUACUGAUGGAUGGACCCGCGGUGCAUUAGCUAGUGGGUGGGGUAACGGCUCACCAAGGCCACGAUGCAUAGCUGACCUGAGAGGGGGACCGGCCACACUGGGACUGAGACACGGCCCAGACUCCUACGGGAGGCAGCAGUAGGGAAUAUUCGGCAAUGGACGAAAGCCUGACCGAGCAACGCCGCGUGAGUGAAGAAGGUUUUCGGAUCGUAAAACUCUGUUGUUGGAGAAGCGGUAUCUAACCAGAAAGCAACGGCUAACUACGUGCCAGCAGCCGCGGUAAUUC
rnacentral:rRNA from 1 species